CAACGUUGAGCUCGGGUUCCGAGCUGCAGUCAGAAAUCAGUCAGGCAACGGGGACUGAU
rnacentral:ncRNA from 2 species